rnacentral:rRNA from 1 species
CGUAGCCGCGGUAACACCAGCACCUCGAGUGGUCAGGAGGUUUAUUGGGCCUAAAGCAUCCGUAGCCGGUUGCAUAAGUUUUCGGUUAAAUCUAUGCGCUUAACGUAUAGGCCGCCGAAAAUACUGUGCAGCUAGGGAGUGGGAGAGGUACACGGUACUCGAUAGGAAGGGGUAAAAUCCUUUGAUCUAUUGAUGACCACCUGUGGCGAAGGCGGUGUACCGGAACACGUUCGACGGUGAGGGAUGAAAGCUGGGGGAGCAAACCGGAUUAGAGACCCGCGUAGUCCCUGUCUCUUAUACC